rnacentral:rRNA from 1 species
GUGACCGAUAGUGAACCAGUACCGUGAGGGAAAGGUGAAAAGAACCCCGGGAGGGGAGUGAAAGAGAGCAUGAAACCGUGUGCCUACAAGCAGUGGGAGCCCGAUUGAACGGGUGACCGCGUGCCUGUUGAAGAAUGAGCCAGCGAGUUACAGCGUGGGGCAGGUUAAGGCGGGAAUGCCGGAGCCAAAGGGAAACCGAGUCUGAAUAGGGCGUUGGUCGCACGCUGUAGACCCGAACCUGGGUGAUCUAACCAUGGCCAGGCUGAAGCUUGGGUAAAGCCAAGUGGAGGGCCGAACCGGUUGAUGUUGAAAAAUCAUCGGAUGAGCUGUGGUUAGGGGUGAAAUGCCAAUCGAACCCAGAGCUAGCUGGUUCUCCCCGAAAUGCGUUGAGGCGCAGCGUCGACAGGUACCUGGUGGGGUAGAGCUCUGAAUCGAUGCGGGCGGCGAGAGCUGUACCAAAUCGAACCAAACUGCGAAUACGCCAGGGUUAGUCGGCAGUGAGACGGUGGGGGAUAAGCUCCAUCGUCGAGAGGGGAACAGCCCAGACCACCAACUAAGGCCCCCAAGACAUCGCUCAGUGGUUAAGGAGGUGGGGGUGCGAAGACAACCAGGAGGUUGGCUUAGAAGCAGCCACCCUUUAAACAGUGCGUAACAGCUGACUGGUCAAGCGCCCUUGCGCCGAAAAUGAACGGGACUAAGCGAUGCGCCGAAGUUGUGGAUGUGAAUGGUAGGGGAGCGUUCCGCACUAGGGUGAAGCGGUAGCGUGAGCAGCCGUGGACGAGGCGGAAGUGAGAAUGUUGGCUUGAGUAGCGCAAACAUUGGUGAGAAUCCAAUGCCCCGAAAACCCAAGGGUUCCCCCGGAAGGUUCGUCCGCGGGGGGUUAGUCGGGACCUAAGGCGAGGCCGACAGGCGUAGUCGAUGGAGACAGGGUUGAUAAUCCCUGACUGGCAACUGGAGCUGAGGAGGGACGCACGAGAGCUAGCCACACCCUGAAUGGAUUGGGAGGGGUCUACGGACUCCGCGUGGUGAAGGGUAGUGCCAAGAAAAGCUCGUAGGCGAUGAAGGUUGUCACCCGUACCCGAAACCGACACAGGUGGGUGGGUAGAGGAUACCGAGGGGCGCGAGAUAACCCUCUCUAAGGAACUCGGCAAAAUGACCCCGUAACUUCGGGAGAAGGGGUGCCAGCGCGAGCUGGCCGCAGUGAAAGGGCCCAGGCAACUGUUUACCAAAAACACAGGUCUCUGCUAAGUCGCAAGACGACGUAUAGGGGCUGACGCCUGCCCAGUGCCGGAAGGUUAAGGAAGUCGGUUAGCGCAAGCGAAGCUGGCGACCGAAGCCCCGGUGAACGGCGGCCGUAACUAUAACGGUCCUAAGGUAGCGAAAUUCCUUGUCGGGUAAGUUCCGACC